rnacentral:rRNA from 1 species
AUGCGGAGGAUCCGAGCGUUAUCCGGAUUUAUUGGGCGUAAAGGGUGCGUAGGCGGCCUUGUAAGUCAGAUGUGAAAGAUCAUGGCUUAACUGUGGUAAGCAUUUGAAACUGCAGGGCUUGAGUACAGGAGAGGAGAGUGGAAUUCCUAGUGUAGUGGGGAAAUGCCUAGAUAUUAGGAGGAAUACCAGUGGCGAAGGGGACUCUCUUGACUGAUACUGACGCUGAGGCACGAAAGCGUGGGGAGCAAACAGGAUUAGAUACCCUGGUAGUCCUCGCUAUAAACGAUGAGUGCUAGGUGUCGGGGGUCAAACCCCGGUGCCGCAGUUAACACAUUAAGCACUCCGCCUGGGGAGUACGGCCGCAAGGCUGAAACUCAAAGGAAUUGACGGGG